UCCACUUCCUAUCCCAUCCCUUUUCUUUUCUCUAAACAGUUGGCCAACGGACGACCUCCCAAUCAGCGGCGGCGCCGGCGGAAGGACAAGCGCUCCAUAUCAUCCCAUACCCAAGGGUGCCGCCCUCUUCUCUCUCGCAGGCAGAAGUGUCUGCCCCCUUGCCUGAGCAUCUCGAUAUUCGACUUUGUUCCACCAGCUCCGGCAAUAGAUUCUUGAGUGACGAAUGAACGAGAAGGCCGACGAAACUCCGAAGGGGGCUUCCUCUUUUCCAUCUCACAUCCUCUCCUUUUGAGGAACCGCUGGACGUGGCGAGGACGGAGAUGGAUGCGUGUACCAGCAGAUGCAAUAUCCUCGCCAGAAUCAGUCGCUCGAGCCCUAAGUGGAGGAUGAUGUCGAGCUCUACCCCACGCAUCUCUUCUCCGUCCUGGAGGGAUUAGGUUGGUCCUUUUUUAUAAGAGCGGGAGUAGCUACGGGUGCCUGGCAGACGGAGGAGAACCGAAGAUAUCUGACGGAUGAGGCGCAGUCCACGCAGUACCUCCCUGCAGCUGCUCGGUCUUCGGUCUGGCGGUGUUGCGGACGUCGGCGCAGCAGCGCCGGCCUGCUCCUUCCAUGCCUCACCGUUCUGGCCCCGACACCUAUCCUGCAGAGUCGAAUCGGUCUCUGGCAUCGAGGCGUUCUCCAUCCACAGGGCUGGUGGUGUGGUACCUCCGUGUCUUCGUGGUUCACAAUGGGCAUCAUGUUUGUUACUUCAGAACUUGCUGUUUCUGCUUCAUGUGCAGGAAGGAAGACUAAACAUUCAGUAAGCUAGCUUAAUAUUUUUUUGUUGAAUCGCCAUAUUAAUAUAAUACUGGUGUUUGACAUUGGAAGAGUUAAUUGAACUAUUUUUUAUGUCUCAUGAAACAUGAGAUAUACAUAAUUUGUUGCAUGGUUCAGCGGCUGCAAAGUGGAGAGCAUCAAGAGAUGGAUGCAUGAAUAACAUAAGCUUUCUAAUUGGUGAUGUUUCAGCUGCUGAGCGUGUCUUCCAGAUCAUUUACUCUUAGUGUGUUCUUAUCAUUUGUUUGAGGAUUCUACAACUAAUCCACUGAUAAGUAUCCAUGUGAAGAGGCGAGGAAAGUGAUGUUCCUCUCCUCAUGUAUAUUUGAUUUAGGACGUCUUUAUCUGCAGGUGCGGUCCCUUCAGUCCUCAUGAAGGUUAUCUUUUCGUCUAUUUUUGCUUUUGUUCAAAUAUCAUGUGGUACUGCUAUCUAGACCAAUUAGUUCAGAGUUGGUGCAACCAAUUUUUGAUGUGUUGAUCAUUGAUAGUUUAAAUAGGUUGUAUAAAGAGGACAUGGAAUACACAGUGAUUUGGCAUGAGCUUCUUUAUUUGCACGACUCUUUGUUCAAGAGAGGCUCCGUAGCUUAAAAGAGAAGGCAACCCAACAACCGCUUGGUGUUGAUUAUUUGAUCACGAGGUCAUCUUAUCUAAAUUACCACUUCUUAUUCAUUAUUUAAUUACUCACACUUCAAAAUUAAGUAACUGAAUGUUCCUCCCAUUUGGAUUCCUUAUCUGGAGUACAAAAGAACCCAACAGAUCCUCACCUUAACGGUGGCCCCCACGACACCGCCGGUGGUCUCCCACCGCUGGGUGAGCGCUAGACGACCAGCAGUGCUGAUGCCUGCUCCAGAUCAAGGGAGCAUGGCGUCUCCUAGAAGUUUCCCUGCUGUCACUAUGACUUUCUCCAUCACCAUCAUCUGUUUUCAGUUUUAUCUAUAAAAGGUGUUAUCUAAUUAUUAUUUGUUGCAGAAUUAGCCGAACCAUAUGUACAUCCACUUUCAUAUAGUACUGAUAUGAAUAUAUGAUUGUGCUGCAUGUUUGUGUACUCAUGGUCAACUUGCCAUCAUAUUCUUACCUACAGAAGAAGGAUUCCAUGGUCAGUGAUGCAUCAAAUGUACUUUUCAUAUGCAAAUCAUAUGAGUUCUUCAUUUCCAGUACCAUCCUGCAGCUGAAAGCAAGAUUAUAAAUUCGGGAUUUGGUGCCUGAAUGCUUGGUAGAGAAGGUGCUUUUCUUAGCUAGGAAUCUACGGGUCUGUGGUUGGUGUCGGAAGAACUAAUGCUUGAUUGCAUCUUUACUUAUAUUUUUCAGUUUGCUCACAGCGUAAGCUUUUGUGAUGUAUAAUUUUGUAACGUUUCUACGUAGGUGUCUUGGAUUGCUCCUAUAUGGACAUAUUUGUUUCACAAUCUAUACUGGAUCUCGAGAUGCUUUACAUACUGCUUUUUUUUACUUCCAAA